AGAUUGAACGCUGGCGGCAGGCCUAACACACGCAAGUCGAGCGGCAGCACGGGUACUUGUACCUGGUGGCGAGCGGCGGACGGGUGAGUAAUGCCUAGGAAUCUGCCUGAUAGGUGGGGGAUAACGUUCGGAAACGGACGCUAAUACCGCAUACGUCCUACGGGAGAAAGUGGGGAUCUUCGGACCUCACGCUAUCAGAUGAGCCUAGGUCGGAUUAGCUAGUUGGUAGGUAAAGGCCUACCAAGGCUACGAUCCGUAACUGGUCUGAGAGGAUGAUCAGUCACACUGGAACUGAGACACGGUCCAGACUCCGUACGGGAGCAGCAGGUGGGAAUAUGGACAAGUGGGACAAGUCCUGACUCCAGCCAGUCGCCGUCGUGUGU
rnacentral:rRNA from 1 species